UGGUUUCAGGACCAGGGCCUGUAUUUAGAGUGACUAUAGGACUGGUUUCAGGAGCAGGUCCUGUAUUUAGAGUGACUAUAGGACUGGUUCCAGGUCCAGGUCCUGUAUUUAGAGUGACUAUAGGACUAGUUCCAGGACCAGGUCCUGUAUUUAGAGUGACUAUAGGACUAGUUUCAGGACCAGGUCCUGUAUUCAGAGUGACUAUAGGACUGGUUCCAGGACCAGGUCCUGUAUUUAGAGUGACUAUAGGACUGGUUCCAGGUCCAGGUCCUGUAUUUAGAGUGACUAUAGGACUAGUUCCAGGACCAGGUCCUGUAUUUAGAGUGACUAUAGGACUAGUUUCAGGACCAGGUCCUGUAUUCAG